GCCUAGUUAGCUUAGUUGGUAGUGCGUCUGCCUUGUAAGCGCUAGGCCGUGGAUUCGAUUCCCGCACGGGGCG
rfam:Asian citrus Psyllid, Diaphorina citri - Florida Strain, whole genome shotgun sequence.